rnacentral:tRNA from 1 species
GGGCCGUUAGCUCAGUUGGUAGAGCAGCUGACUCUUAAUCAGCGGGUCCGGGGUUCGAGUCCCUGACGGCCCACCA